GAUGAACGCUGGCGGCGUGCCUAAUACAUGCAAGUCGAGCGAAUGGAUUAAGAGCUUGCUCUUAUGAAGUUAGCGGUGGACGGGUGAGUAACACGUGGGUAACCUGCCCAUAAGACUGGGAUAACUCCGGGAAACCGGGGCUAAUACCGGAUAACAUUUUGAACCGCAUGGUUCGAAAUUGAAAGGCGGCUUCGGCUGUCACUUAUGGAUGGACCCGCGUCGCAUUAGCUAGUUGGUGAGGUAACGGCUCACUAAGGCAACGAUGCGUAGCCGAACAGAGAGGGGGAGCGGACACACUGGGACUGAGACACGGCCAAGACUCCUACGGGAGGGAGCAGUAGGGAAUCUUACGCAAUGGACGAAAGUCUGACGGAGCAACGCCGCGUGAGUGAUGAAGGCUUUCGGGUCGUAAAACUCUGUUGUUAGGGAAGAACAAGUGCUAGUUGAAUAAGCUGACACCUUGACGGUACCUAACCAGAAAGCCACGGCUAACUACGUGCCAGCCGCCGCAGUAA
rnacentral:rRNA from 1 species